AUUGAACGCUGGCGGAAUGCUUUACACAUGCAAGUCGAGCGGCAGCGCGGGGCAACCUGGCGGCGAGCGGCGAACGGGUGAGUAAUACAUCGGAACGUACCCAGUUGAGGGGGAUAGCCCGGCGAAAGCCGGAUUAAUACCGCGUACGACCUGAGGGUGAAAGUGGGGGAUCGCAAGACCUCACGCAGUUGGAGCGGCCGAUGGCGGAUUAGCUAGUUGGUGGGGUAAAGGCCUACCAAGGCGACGAUCCGUAGCGGGUCUGAGAGGACGACCCGCCACACUGGAACUGAGACACGGUCCAGACUCCUACGGGAGGCAGCAGUGGGGAAUUUUGGACAAUGGGGGAAACCCUGAUCCAGCCAUUCCGCGUGAGUGAAGAAGGCCUUCGGGUUGUAAAGCUCUUUCGGCAGGAACGAAACGGUGGGCUCUAACAUAGUCUGCUAAUGACGGUACCUGAAGAAGAAGCACCGGCUAACUACGUGCCAGCAGCCGCGGUAA
rnacentral:rRNA from 1 species